ACUCACAGCACACUCAUACACUGUCACACUCAGACACACACACACCACACUGGACUCACACACACAAGUAGCUCUGUAUCUCUCAGGAGUAAGACUCGCACAUGCUCCUCCAUACGGCGUUGCUACCACGAGGAGGCUCGACUGAUCAUCAUCGUGGAAUAUACCUUCCUGUACCAAGACUUGGUGGGAACAGGAGAGAGGCGAGGAGAGGUGGUAGUGGGGAGGAGGGGGGGAGCAGGAAGGAGGAGGGCUCAUUGGCUUCAAGAUGCUGUGCGAGAGAGACACGGUGAUCAAUGUUGAAGACGGAUCGUCCAGAGUGCCUCAGCUGGUGUUUCUGUCUUUCAUCGGGAGGGAACUUCUGAUCAGAAAUGUUGUUUUACUGAGGUAAAGAGAGAGAGAGAGAGAGACGCGCACCCAAUUAAGGAGAAACUAAGGAUGCUAUUGCUGCCACUCUGCAGGAGACAAUCCUACCACACUGGGCAGGACAUUGCGAACUGUGGGACUUGUCGUGACUGUGCCUGCAUCAUCUACAGUGUGGAACAUGAUUUCAGGCAGCAGGAAGUCAGAUUUCAUAGGGUCCUGAGCUCCAUGGAAACAGAC